AACCAAGGUUGUUAGAUGAACUGCUUUCUGUUCUGGGGGCUCUAGGGAAGAUUGUUUUCCAUCUUCUGAAGGUGGAGUGCACACCUUGACUCCUGGCCACCAUCUUUGAAGCAACAGCAGACAGAAUCCUCAAGACUUUAACUACUCUUGCCUCUUCUUCGCCUGUCCCAUCAUUCUCAGACCACAGCCUGGAAGAGGUCUUUACUUUAAGGAACUCACAGGAUGACUUCGCGUCCACCUGGCUAAACAAGGCAACCUCCCCACCUCAAGGUCUAUAACCUAGAUCACAUCUGCCAAGUCCCAUUGGUCAUGGAAGGUAACUCAUUACCGGGCUCCAAGGAUUAGCACAUGAACAUCUUUGGGAGUGGGGGUAUUAUUCUGUCUACCACAGAAGGAGUUGAAAGGUAGGGUGGAGACUAGUAUAUUCUCUACAUGUAAAGCUUUAUAAUUAGAUUUGUGAUCAGAAUAACAUGUUCUGGAUAAAGUAUUUUAAAUCUUUAUAGGGACAGAGGCAACAAGCAACAGGAGAUGAACUCAUCUCAGUUCUUCAGGGUUGCACUAAAUAUUUACCUUUGAUAUAAGAACUAUACCCAUAAGCCUACCCAUACACCUAGCUUGGGUGUCCUUUAAUCUUUAAAUGUACCUUACAUACUGAAAGUGGAAAUCAACUCACCUUACCAACAAACACCAAGUUUAUGUAUUCCUCCACAUAUUUGGGGUUGAAGAGGAAAAGGAAAUCAAGUACUGUUAUCUUAAAGUUUAAGAAGGAAAGUAUAUAUCCACAAAUCAUUGAGUGUAGGAGCAAGAAGUAAUUGUUAUAAAGUACUUGUUUCUAUCAAUAGGAUGAAAGAUAUGGUCUCUGUAGAGGAGUAAAAUGACAUGAGAUUAAAUAGAAAAGAUAAAAGAAUAUUAUUCUAAGAGAAGUUCGUAUGUGUAUAUGUGUGUGAGAGAGAUCUAUUUUGUACAUUUCAUAUAACUAGCUAAUGGCAGAAAUGGGAAAAAGAAGAAAACAUAUACAUGGGCUGCAUGUACUACAAAUUUUCUACCUUAAAGAAUAUGAAUCUUUUAAGUUAUCGACCAUCCACCUAGCACAAUACCUGACUUAGCACAAGUAAAUGUCUCUUUAGUGAUUAAUUAAAAUAAUUAAAUGGUUAAUUACAGAGUAAGUGGGAAAUGAAACUUGUAUUAAAACUACAAGGCUAAACAGUAUAGUAAUUGCUGAAGUACUGAAGGCAUCAAGUUUAAUUACCCUUUUAUGUUGAGAAAUACUUAUUUUCCAAGUGAUGGGGUGAAUGAUCUUCAUUCCUACUCAAUUAUGUCUUUAAGUUGAUUCAGGGCAGGCUUUCACAUCUUCCAGGAAAGUAUCUUCAGAAAAGUCCUCAUCAAAGGGAAUCAUUACCCUGAGAGGAAGAGGUUCCUUUCAGAUGUAGCUGAAUAUGGAAAUUCUACUAAAUGCACAAGCUGGCAUGUGAAGAGCUUCUGGAAUCCCAUCUGGAGUAGGGGCAUAAAAGACUGUUCCUCCACUCCAUGGAGGGAAUUUUACUACAUAAAAGACCUCUGAGACGUUCCCUCAUUUGUAAUGGAAUCAGCAAUACUCUUGAUAACAAAAGGAUCAGAAGAUAGAAAACACAGUUGAGCCUUGUCUGGUUAGUAAUUUAAGAAUUCUCAAGAUUCACAGUGAAAUACUGAAAAGCAUGGGCAGAGUGACCUGAUCAGCGUUGUGCUUUAUUUACUACAGCUAAAUGUGGUCACGCCAGAUUUAGAAUGACUUGGGGGAAAAAAAAAAUGUAUGCUGGAUCAGAAAUAUCCUUUUGGAAGCUAAUUUACUGAUUUUAUUCAGAGGUAAUAGGAUUUGGACUGUGGUGUAGCCAUGGGGAAAAUCAGUCAGGUAUGAAGCAGAAUUUGGGAAGGAGGUGACCGGUAACUAGAUGGUGGGAAGAAAAUAGAAGCUGAGAACUCUAAGUCAGAAUGACUGUAAUAUUAUGAUGCCAUGAUUACAAUUAAGGAGGUUUGCAGAAGGAAAAACAGUUGAGCUUGUACUGAUAGGAAUUUUUGAGGAUAUAGUUCAGAGGUCAGAUUAGAGAGGACCCACCCCUGUGGGGUGACAUUACCCCUGUUUGAGGCAUAGUUAGUUCUCUAUGCUGCUCGUGAUGUCAUGACUUACAUUUCUUUUUUUUAUAUACAAUUCUAUUGUUAUUUACUAGUUGUUGCAUCUAAAACAAAAAUUUUUCCAUCUGUACUCAGUCCGCAACCCCUUGACAGUAUUAAGUAAUGUAGCCCAUGAGAAAUGGCAAUGGUAUAGGAUUUCAGGAGAUGCAAAUUCCCCCAGCUCCCACUGCAGUCAAAGGAUGUCUGUUUACAGGUCCUCUGCAUCCUAAGAUG